UAAAUUUAAAAAUGUAAACUAAUUAAAAUUCUAUACUAUAUUUAUUCUACGUAACCCAUAUUUGUAGGGUUUUACAGAUCUUAUAACAUCUCAAUUCAUGCACAAACCAGGAUCUGGCCAAGAAUUCUCAGCCAAUCCCAGGUGUCUUAUUAAAUCCUACUAUUGCAGCAGUUUCUCCUUUUAUUUUAAUUUUUUUUAUUAAUAACUGAGAUGUUGAUUGUGCAUACACUGAUCAGUUGGCUAACAAAGCAUCUGGUUUAUAAUUGUGUUUGGCAGUUCAAUUAAGUGUGACUUUUGUAAAUGUGAUAAGUGCACCUGCCUCUUUAUUUAGAUACUAGCUCUUGUUGAAAAUAAAUUAUUCUUAGAGAAUUCACCCCUGGAUCUUGAUACAAAAGUAUCUUAGCAUCGAAAAACACUUUAAAAAUGUUUUGUGUCUACAGCAGUGUUUCCCAAUUGGUGUUCCGCAGAACCCUAGGGUUCUGCAAGAACAAAAUUGGGGUUCCACAGUGAUCUGUCCAUCGGGUGGCCCAUGCAUUGCUGCACAGAGGCCUGGUCAGCAGCACGGCUGAUUAAUAGCGCAAACGGGUAUGUUUGUUGGGAGGAAGUGACAGACGGCUACUUCCUCCCAGCUUCAUGUAGAAUACGCAGCGCUGGAGGGAGAGAAGCAGCAGCCAGGAGUGAGCAGCUCCCCCCAAACACACCAGCCUCAGCAAAUCACCCUCCUUCAGACAACAGGUAUGCUAACAGGAGGGUGACUGCAUAUAUAUAUAUAUAUAUAUAUAUAUAAUGACGUGUGCGUAUUUGACAGUGUGUGUGUGUAUGUCACUGUGUGUAUUAAUGUGUCACUGUGUGUAUGUGCCACUGUGUAUGUCACUGUGUGUAUCUGUGUCAGUGUGUAUCUGAGUGCAUGCGCCAGUGUGUGUAUCUGAUAGUAUGUGUCACUGUGUGUAUCUGAGUGUCACAGUGUGUUUGUAUUGGUGGGUUAAGGUGUGUGCCUGUGUGUGUUGCAGUGUAUGUGUCACUGUGUGUCAGUGCCAGGUUGUGUAUCUGUGUGUAUGUGCCAGUGUGUCUAUCUGUGGGUCAGUGUGUUUCUGAGUGUCAGUGUGUGUAUCUGUCGGUGUGCGUGUAUCUGUAUGUUAAGGUGUGUGUGUAUCCGAGUGUGUGUGUACGUAUCAGUGUGUUUGUCUGUGUACGUGUAUCUGUGUGUAUCUGUGUGCAGUGCUGGAGGGAGAGAAGCAGCAGCCAGGAGUGAGCAGCUCCCCCCAAACACACCAGCCUCAGCAAAUCACCCUCCUUCAGACAACAGGUAUGCUAACAGGAGG